rnacentral:rRNA from 1 species
UACAGAGGUGGCAAGCGUUGUUCGGAAUUACUGGGCGUAAAGGGCGCGUAGGCGGCCCGAUAAGUCCCGCGUGAAAGCCCCCGGCUCAACUGGGGAACUGCGCGGGAAACUAUCGGGCUUGAGUUCGGGAGAGGGAAGCGGAAUUCCGGGUGUAGCGGUGAAAUGCGUAGAUAUCCGGAGGAACACCGGUGGCGAAGGCGGCUUCCUGGACCGACACUGACGCUGAGGAGCGAAAGCGUGGGUAGCGAACAGG